GUCUCUGUCAGGUCUGUCCUAUGGUACCUGAACUUGUAGUUCACGCUUAUCCUUCCCGGGUUCAAGUCUCCAUUUCUACAGCAACAGAGCACAGACGCUGGCUGGCAAGGGCCUGCCCCAGCACAGUGAUGUCACAUCUGCACUACCCCUUCAGGCCCCACACAGGGAGAAGCACUUCCCUCCAAGCAGCCUGAGAACCUCCUCUGAUCUCUGUGCUGGCUCUACUUGUGCUUCACAGUCGAGACCUGGGAGCAUCUCUGUCCACCUGCAUGCCUGUCCCCCGGGAAGGAAAGAGGGUUGCAUGUUUUCCCUUGUGCAGCCAGUGAGGACUUAGAUGGCCCCGCUGUUCUGCAAUGAACUUGACUUUUCUUGGAUUACCAGUUCUGCAAGGGUGCUUUUGCAAACAGUUUCAUCUGGCUGAAUACCAGUAGAGAGCAGGCCGUGUCAGUGGGCUCACAUGGAGACCGGACACCGCAUUUCUCUGGGAGCUCCCUGGCUGAGCAGGGCUGGUCUCUGGCAUGGGACACCAUCCUCCCCAGGUCCACUAUAGCUGUUUGAGCAGUUCAGCUGCUCAAAAGGUGCUAUUGCAGAGCACAGGAAGAAAGCCUCAACUCUAGCACACUUACAAAUAAAGCCUCCAGCACAGAGGGGAGACUGAGGAAGAGUCAGCGACUUCCUCCCAAACUGUGGCGACGUUUCAGAGUUGCUCACUUGCUGCCUCAGCAGAGACCUUGGCCAAUGCUGCUGGAGUGAUGGAGUAGUCACCACCUCUGAUCUGGUGGUUUGUGACCCCGUGCCAGAGGCGUGGUAAUCGGACAGCAAGAGCUUCCAGUCCCUCACAGUGUGAGCUGGGGCUCAGGCUUGUGCGAGCUCUUUAGCACCUGCAUCUCCAGGGACCAGGAGCAAAUGUCCACUCACUGGCACUGCAGGAGCUUUGGCUCCAUUCUUCUGCUCCUCGGAAAAAACCUGGCUCUUAUCACUGAAAUCCCUCAGGAUUCGGUCAAUGGCACUGUGGGCCACUCCGUGCUCCUGCCCGUCUCCUACAAAUUCACAAACUCCUCUUGCUUCCCACUGUCGUUUCACUGGACGUUCAGUAACCGCUCGGACGCGCUCAUCACCUGCACGGUGCUGAACUGCUCCCUGAGCGCGGAGGGGGCUCCCAAGCACUGCUUUGCAAAGCAUUUCCCACACGCCGCGUACCGAGGUCGCGUUGUGCUUUUCCCUGAGAACGCGUCCCUGCUGCUCCAGGACCUGCAGCUCAGCGACGGCGGGGUGUACAGCGUCACCUUCAAACAGCGGAUCCAAACCAGGCACAUCACCUUAACUGUGUAUAACCCUCAUUUUAGCUCUAAAAAUGCAGACCAUAAUGACACAAAAAAGGAAAUUUCAAGCCAGAUCACUGACUACAUUAUUGGAGUUUCUUCUUGUUUAAUCUCCUUCCUUCUGCUGUUCCUGUUCUGCUGCUGCAUAUGGCACCCGGGUGCAGUUCAGCAGAAGAAAAGGAGAACCAUUACACAACAAGAGGUCUCACAUGCUGAGGAGUCUCCCAUGGAAAGCACCAUGAUGAGAGAUACAGCAAAUAUUUAUGCCAGAGUUGGAGACAGCUUUGAACAGCCACAGCCAAGAGCAACGCCAGAGGUUGUUUACAUGUCUGCAACCUUCUCUAACCCACCAGGAUCGGAUUGGGCACUGUCGGCUUGUGCAGCAACUGUGGAGCUGCCUCAAGUGGGAGCCUUAAACUUUGCUAAAGAUAGUCCUGUUUAAAAAUGAAGAGGAUGUUUUUGUCACUGUCUCUGCUGAUGUGACCCUCAGUGUUUCUACUCCGGCAGCUCUUAGUCUGCACACUGAGCACAGGUUGUAAAGGAUUUGGAGCUACUGAGUACAGAAAUGCCUUAGUUUGCCUCAAUCUGCAGUCUCUGUUGAACUUGAGAAGUGAGCUGGUUUUAGUUUCUUCUUGACAUUUCCUGAGACUACAAAGACACAUAGCAUAAGAGAAAGAUUCAUAAGGCAAAGGCAAAUCAGCAGUUUGGUAAAUGGGGACCUUACUUCCAUAGACUAACCCUAACUAGAGGUGUAAUGGAGAACAUUAAAUGGAUCUUAAUCAUGUGACCCAGGUUCACUGCCAAAGGUCUUGGCAUAUUAAAAGAACAUAUCAAGAUCAUUUGGACUGAAAAGUUGUUGUUAUUUUUAGGACUGUUCCAAAUAAUUGUUGUGCAUAUUCUUCCUACGAUAAGAUUAGCUUGACCUUGGGAUCCUAGGGCAAUAGCUUUCUCCACUGUUGUUUUGAAAUGUCCCUGUGAAGUGCAAGGAGAUGGGGCUUUCUGUACAAUGGAUUUCCUGACACAUAAUGUCAUUUCCAAAAAACUGUGGAAGAAAGUAGAGCUGUGUAGUUUAAAGUCAAAACAUUUGCAUUUCAGGCUCCUUCAAAAUGCUGUGAGCGCAUAAAUUAGUUUUCCUUUCCCUCUGGGUGUCAUGGUAAACCAGAUAGUAUGCACCAGAACAUUAUGCGCCAUUAGUAAUAAAUGGAUACAAGAAAAGGAUGAAAAAUCUUGA
ensembl:lncRNA uncharacterized LOC104153990